GCCUUUGUGGUGUAGUGGUCAGCACACUCGACUCGUAUUGGAGAGGUCCACGGUUCAAGUCCCGGAGAGGGCU
rnacentral:tRNA from 1 species